rnacentral:misc_RNA from 1 species
GUGGAAGGGUUAUCGUGAUGCAAGUUGCCUCUUUGUUGAGAUGCUUGCUAAGAAAGACGUUGAAACGUCUAGAUCUGCUUACCAUGAUCACGUGAAAAGUGAUUAUUGCCUCUGUCUAGCGAUUCAUGCACCGCGUAAAGGGAUUGUUGAGAUAUGGCAGAUGAGGACUGGUCCGCGUCUUCUAACUAUUCCAUGUGCCAAAGGUAGCAAGAUUUUGCAACCUACAUACAGAUUCGCCUCAUCAGA